AGGUUGGCGAGGUGGGCUCGGUGGGCGGCGCGGUGCUUGGCUCUGCGGGGAGACGCAGACAGCCAGGGGCUGCUGCCCGCCCCACCGCGCCUGGCCGGGUCCUGGCUCACAAAGCUGCGCGCCUUGGCGCAGCGCUCCCGGCUUUGCGCUCCCUA
rnacentral:sRNA from 1 species